CUCAGUAACACGUGGACAAUCUGCCCUAAGGAGGGGGAUAACUUCGGGAAACUGAAGAUAAUACCCCAUAGAUCAUGAAUGCUGGAAUGCUUCAUGGUUCAAAGCUCCGGCGCCUUAGGAUGAGUCUGCGGCCUAUCAGGUUGUAGUGGGUGUAGUGGACCCACUAGCCACUGACGGGUACGGGCGUUGGGAGACGUCGCCCGGAGAUGGAUUCUGAGACACGAAUCCAGGCCCUACGGGGCGCAGCAGUUACGAAAACUUGACAAUGCGGGAAACCGCGAUCAGGGAAUUCCAAGUGCAUGCACAAUGUGUAUGCUGUUCCAUUGUCUUAAAAACAUAGGAAGUAAGGGCUGGGUAAGACAGGUGCCAGCCGCCGCGGUAAUACCUGCAGCCCGAGUGGUGGUCGAUAUUAUUGAGCCUAAAGCGUCCGUAGCCGGACCAGUAAAUUCUUGGGUAAAUCGGGCAGCUUAACUGUCCGACUUCCGAGGAGACUGCCAGUCUUGGGACUGGGAGAGGUCAGAGGUACUCCAGGGGUAGGGGCUAAAUCCUGUAAUCCUUGGGGGACCACCAGUGGCGAAGGCGUCUGACUAGAACGGAUCCGACGGUAAGGGACGAAACCCUGGGGCGCAAACCGGAUUAGAUACCCGGGUAGUCCAGGGCGUAAACGCUGCAGGCUUGGUGUUGAGGAUCCUACGAGGAUGCUCAGUGCCGGAGUGAAGAUGUUAAGCCUGCCGCUUGGGGAGUACGUCCGCAAGGAUGAAACUAAA
rnacentral:rRNA from 1 species